UACCAUUACGGAAAGGCUAAGACAAGGCCUGCGCCAACGGGAUAGCCGACGCACAGGGGUUGAAGAGGGACGAUUCGGAGGACGCUCGGCGAAGAGGUAAAUCGCCUUCAUCAAUUUUGUCUCUCUUCGUGUGCAUCCGAUAUUUCUCCUCUUCUUUCACUACUCCAGCAACAAAAAACCUCAGCGGUUGCAAGGCGCACUCUCCCUAUAUCUCUGGUUGGGAUCGACUGUAAGGAACCAACUUGAAGUUGCAGCCACCCCGUCCACUCCUCGCCUUUAUCUUUUCUCUCGAUUUAUUUGUGGAUUCGAUCCGCUGCAUAGAUUGGAAUUAUUUUAAUCUUUUGUAUAUUGAUUUACUCAGUUUCAGGUUCACAACCAGGAUGGCAGAUGCAUGGGUGGUCGCUGCCUCAUGAGUGAUAUAUUUUUCCUCUUUCCUUUCCGUAACUCCAUUGCGUCUGGUUAUGGCAUUGUUUGUUGCGUGUGUGCCGCUACUGUUUUGUGCUAUGUGAGAGAUCGAGAGUUUCAUAGAUGAGAGUCUACAUCUGGGAUAGGGAUUUCUACUAAUUAUCUGCUGCUCUGAGUUGUAUGUUAUCUCUGCUCUGAUUUGUGUGCUGCUGCUUGGGUGAAGAAGAAGGGGACAGUGAUGCUGCUUAGAGAUAAUGCUCCCGCUGCUGCAAAGGGAUUAUUGUUGCUUAUAUAGAACAAAGUAAUAGAGAUACUACUGCUGCUACUAAUAGAUUGUUUUUAUUUUUACUUUCUGCAGUUGCUAAUGCCGCUCUGGACUGUGUAGUUUGUAUUAGCUAUGUUCUCACCAAGUACAAAUAAUUCACAAAGCAUGGUUGAUUCGUUCCUUUUUUGUUAUUUUGUGGUAUCUUUAUUGUAACUUCAUAUUUUGGUGUAUUCUUCCAUCCUCUAGGUCACUACACAUGCUCAUUUGAAAGUUGAGUUAUCAAUAUUAAUUAUUGUUGCCUAUGGGCGUUUAAUCAGGUUUGCAAGGUAGUGCUAUUUCUCCUUUUUGUGAUUCUGCAGAUGGCAUAGGAUGAUAUGGUCGGCUUAUAUCUUAAAUUUCAUAAGAAUGGCCACGUGAUAUGAUAGCAUACGAUUCUUAUAUAUGUUCUGUUUUGUUCUCUAUUAUUUGGCUACUGUAACAAGCUAUUAUUGUGUAAAAACAUUUGUAAAAUAGACGUUCUUGAGGUUGUGUGUAUGUGUUUUCUUAGUUACCAUGGGUAUAUGAAUCGUCAUUCCCUUUAAUUGCUGGAAAUAUUGGUCCCAUUCGAGGUAAUCGGUCUAAACCCGAUCUAUUUUUCCUAAUACUUGUUGUAGAAUUAACCCAUGAUCCCUAGCUUGACAAGGGUAUAUUUAAUCUUUAUGAUGUCCACCAAUACUUAGUUCCCCCUUUUAUUUUACCUCAAAGGAAGUGGUAAGCAUAGAGACGUUAUACGUCAUCCAUAAUUAUCUUAAAGUGCAGACUCCCAUAUACAAGUUUCCAGUAAUUUCUCUUUGAUGAGUACCUUCCACUUCAAAAAAUAAAUAAAUUGGUCAAUGGAAGGUGUAUAAUAUUUUAUCUCCCAUUGCAUACCUAUGUCUGAAAAUCCCAGGCACAGUGUUGCUGUCCAUGUACAUGGAUGAAGGUGGUACCUGGAUGCCAAGCUUGAGUGGCUCUGUAUCCUUGGGAUCAGAUUGUUCAUGCUCGGAGUCGACGGCUUUAAGGUGAGGAAGUGAAUAGACAUUCCUUGUCAGCUACGACACACAUACAGAUAAUUAUUGCAUGUUCUAUUUAAUUCAGUUGAUGUUCAUUGAUUCGUCUUUUUAGUAGUGUCCACAGGCUCAUAGUGAGCAUAUGCAGAAUAUGUAUUAUUUAUCCAUUUGUUUUCUUUGGAGGUUCUGAUGUUGCUAGCGAUUGAUGUUCGCUUGGGAAAAAUGUGCGUGCCAUCCUAUAUGAGUGAUCAACCCCACAAUGUCCGGACAUUCUGGUGAACAUGUACAGAUCAUUUUUCUCAAUUUAUAUGUAUGGCUAGACAUUGAGGUGCACAUGUACAUAACAUUUUUCUCAGUUUGUAUGUAUAUCUUUUCUGCCUAUCAAGUUCCCUCGGUGUAAGUUGCUCCUAUUUAUUUAUACUGCAGCUCUAUUUUAGUAGCCUUACAAAGACUACUUUUUAUAUGUGGUGCAAGUUAGUUCAAUCAAGCUCAGCCUCGGAG
rnacentral:lncRNA from 1 species